rnacentral:lncRNA from 1 species
GAAGAAAAGGACAGGGAUCAGAAAAGGAGGAAGAGAAAUGGAAGAGGACAAAGGGAUGGGAAGAAAAGGUUGGAAGAAGUGAAUGGGGGUUGGAAAAGAGGAAGAAAAGGAUGGGGAUCAGAGGAGGAGAAAGAGAAAUGGAAGAGCAGGAUGGGAUAGGAAGAAAAGGAGAAAGAGAAAUGGAAGGGGACGAAGGGAUGGGAAGGACAGGGAUCAGAAAAGGAGAAAGAGAAGUGGAAGAAGAAAGGGUUGGAAGAAAAGGUUGGAAGAAGUGAAUGGGGGUUGAAAAGGAGGAAGGGAUGAGAAGAAAAGGAUGGAAGAAGAGAAUUGGGAAUGAAAAGGAGGAAGGGGUGGGAAGAAAAGGAGAAAGGUAAAUGGAAGAGGACAAAGGGAUGGGAAGAAAAGGACAGGGAUCAGAAAAGGAGAAAGAGAAAUGGAAGAGGAGGAAAAGGUUGGAAGAAAAGGUUGGAAGAAAAGGUUGGAAGAAGUGAAUGGGGGUUGGAAAGAGGAAGAAAAGGAUGGGGAUCAGAGGAGGAGAAAGAGAAAUGGAAGAGGAGGAAAGGGUUGGGAAGAAAAGGUUGGAAGAAGAGAAUUGGGAUUGAAAAACAGGAAGGGAUGAGAAGGAUGGAAGAAGAGAAUUGGGAAUGAAAAGGAGGAAGGGGUGGGAAGAAAAGGAGAAAGAGAAAUGGAAGAGGAGGAAAAAGUUGGAAGAAAAGGUUGGGAGAAGUGAAUGGGGGUUGGAAAAGAGGAAGAAAAGGAUGGGGAUCAGAGGAGGAGAAAGAGGAAUGGAAGAGCAGGAAGGGAUGGGAAGAAAAGGAGAAAGAGAAAUGGAAGAGGAGGAAAGGGUUGGGAAGAAAAGGUUGGAAGAAGAGAAUUGGGAUUGAAAAGGNGGGCUCUGAGGUGUCCCUGGAUCCUUCUCCUCUCCAGCCUGGACAUCCCCAGCCUGAUCCCAGAGCUGUCCCAGCCCCACUCCAGCAGCUCCUCCUGGGCUCAGAACCCCAGAUCUGCAGCAUCCAGGUGGGAUCUCAGGUGGAAGAGGAGGAAAAGGUUGGAAGAAGUGAAUGGGGGUUGGAAAAGAGGAAGAAAAGGACAGGGAUCAGAAAAGGAGGAAGAUAAAUGGAAGAGCAGGAAGGGAUGGGAAGAAAAGGUUGGAAAAAGCUCCUCUCCCAUCCCAGGUGGGCUCUCAGGUAGAAGAGGAGGAAGGGAUGGGAGGAAAAAGUUGGAAGAAGUGAAUGGGGGUUCAAAAAGAGGAAGGGGUUGGAAAAAAGGAUAGGGAUCAGGAAAGGAGAAAGAGAAGUGGAAGAAGAAAGGGUUGGAAGAAAAGGUUGGAAGAAGUGAGUGGAGGCUGAAAAAGUGGAAGAAAAGGAUGGGGAUCAGAGGAGGAGAAAGAGGAAUGGAAGAGGAGGAAAGGGUUGGGAAGAAAAGGUUGGAAGAAGAGAAUUGGGAUUGAAAAGGAGGAAGGGGUGGAAGAAAAGGACAGGGAUCAGAAAA